ACCUGCAGUCGAACGGCAGCACGGGAGCAAUCCUGGUGGCGAGUGGCGAACGGGUGAGUAAUACAUCGGAACGUGCCCAGUUGUGGGGGAUAGCCCGGCGAAAGCCGGAUUAAUACCGCAUACGACCUGAGGGUGAAAGCGGGGGAUCGCAAGACCUCGCGCAAUUGGAGCGGCCGAUGUCAGAUUAGCUAGUUGGUGGGGUAAAGGCCUACCAAGGCGACGAUCUGUAGCUGGUCUGAGAGGACCACCAGCCACACUGGGACUGAGACACGGCCCAGACUCCUACGGCAGGCAGCAGUGGGGAAUUUUGGACAAUGGGCGCAAGCCUGAUCCAGCAAUGCCGCGUGCGGGAAGAAGGCCUUCGGGUUGUAAACCGCUUUUGUCAGGGAAGAAACGCUUUGGGUUAAUACCCUGGAGUAAUGACGGUACCUGAAGAAUAAGCACCGGCUAACUACGUGCCAGCAGCCGCGGUAAUACGUAGGGUGCGAGCGUUAAUCGGAAUUACUGGGCGUAAAGCGUGCGCAGGCGGUUAUGCAAGACAGAUGUGAAAUCCCCGGGCUCAACCUGGGAACUGCAUUUGUGACUGCAUGACUAGAGUACGGCAGAGGGGGAUGGAAUUCCGCGU
rnacentral:rRNA from 1 species